UAGAGUUUGAUCCUGGCUCAGGACGAACGCUGGCGGCGUGCCUAAUACAUGCAAGUCGAACGCGUCUCCGUUAAUGAUUUUAGGUGCUUGCACUUGAAAGAUUUAACAUUGAGACGAGUGGCGAACUGGUGAGUAACACGUGGGUAACCUGCCCUUGAAGUAGGGGAUAACACUUGGAAACAGGUGCUAAUACCGUAUAACAACCAAAACCACCUGGUUUUGGUUUAAAAGACGGCUUCGGCUGUCACUUUAGGAUGGACCCGCGGCGUAUUAGCUUGUUGGUAAGGUAACAGCUUACCAAGGCGAUGAUACGUAGCCGACCUGAGAGGGUAAUCGGCCACAUUGGGACUGAGACACGGCCCAAACUCCUACGGGAGGCAGCAGUAGGGAAUCUUCCACAAUGGACGAAAGUCUGAUGGAGCAACGCCGCGUGAGUGAUGAAGGGUUUCGGCUCGUAAAACUCUGUUGUUGGAGAAGAACAGGUGUCAGAGUAACUGUUGACAUCUUGACGGUAUCCAACCAGAAAGCCACGGCUAACUACGUGCCAGCAGCCGCGGUAAUACGUAGGUGGCAAGCGUUGUCCGGAUUUAUUGGGCGUAAAGCGAGCGCAGGCGGUUUUUAGGUCUGAUGUGAAAGCCUUCGGCUUAACCGGAGAAGUGCAUCGGAAACCGGGAGACUUGAGUGCAGAAGAGGACAGUGGAACUCCAUGUGUAGCGGUGAAAUGCGUAGAUAUAUGGAAGAACACCAGUGGCGAAGGCGGCUGUCUGGUCUGUAACUGACGCUGAGGCUCGAAAGCAUGGGUAGCGAACAGGAUUAGAUACCCUGGUAGUCCAUGCCGUAAACGAUGAGUGCUAAGUGUUUGGAAGGGUUUCCGCCCUUCAGUGCUGCAGCUAACGCAUUAAGCACUCCGCCUGGGGGAGUACGACCGCAAGGUUGAACUCCAAAGGGAAUUUGACGGGGGCCCGCACAAGCGGUGGAACCAUGUGGUUUAAUUCGAUGCUACGCGAAGAACCUUACCAGGUCUUGACAUCUUCUGC
rnacentral:rRNA from 1 species